CCUACGGGGGGCAGCAGUGAGGAAUAUUGGUCAAUGGCCGAGAGGCUGAACCAGCCAAGUCGCGUGAGGGAAGACGGCCCUACGGGUUGUAAACCUCUUUUGUCGGGGAGUAAAGAGAGUCACGUGUGACUCAUUGAGAGUACCCGAAGAAAAAGCAUCGGCUAACUCCGUGCCAGCAGCCGCGGUAAUACGGAGGAUCCGGGCGUUAUCCGGAUUUAGUGGGUUUAAAGGGGGCGUAGGGGGGGGGGGAAGUCAGGCGUCAAAUUUGCGGGCCCAACCCCGGUACUGCGUGUGAAACUGGAUGCCUUGAGUGCGCGAGAGGUAUGCGGAAUGCGUGGUGUAGCGGUGAAAUGCGUAGAUAUCACGCAGAACUCCGAUUGCGAAGGCAGCAUACCGGCGCGCAACUGACGUUCAUGCGCGAAAGCGUGGGUAUCAAACAGGAUUAGAUACCCCAGUAGUC
rnacentral:rRNA from 1 species